rnacentral:rRNA from 1 species
GCUGACGAGUGGCGGACGGGUGAGUAAUGUCUGGGAAACUGCCUGAUGGAGGGGGAUAACUACUGGAAACGGUGGCUAAUACCGCAUAACGUCGCAAGACCAAAGAGGGGGACCUUCGGGCCUCUUGCCAUCAGAUGUGCCCAGAUGGGAUUAGCUUGUUGGUGAGGUAACGGCUCACCAAGGCGACGAUCCCUAGCUGGUCUGAGAGGAUGACCAGCCACACUGGAACUGAGACACGGUCCAGACUCCUACGGGAGGCAGCAGUGGGGAAUAUUGCACAAUGGGCGCAAGCCUGAUGCAGCCAUGCCGCGUGUAUGAAGAAGGCCUUCGGGUUGUAAAGUACUUUCAGCGGGGAGGAAGGUGUUGUGGUUAAUAACCGCAGCAAUUGACGUUACCCGCAGAAGAAGCACCGGCUAACUCCGUGCCAGCAGCCGCGGUAAUACGGAGGGUGCAAGCGUUAAUCGGAAUUACUGGGCGUAAAGCGCACGCAGGCGGUCUGUCAAGUCGGAUGUGAAAUCCCCGGGCUCAACCUGGGAACUGCAUUCGAAACUGGCAGGCUUGAGUCUUGUAGAGGGGGGUAGAAUUCCAGGUGUAGCGGUGAAAUGCGUAGAGAUCUGGAGGAAUACCGGUGGCGAAGGCGGCCCCCUGGACAAAGACUGACGCUCAGGUGCGAAAGCGUGGGGAGCAAACAGGAUUAGAUACCCUGGUAGUCCACGCCGUAAACGAUGUCUACUUGGAGGUUGUGCCCUUGAGGCGUGGCUUCCGGAGCUAACGCGUUAAGUAGACCGCCUGGGGAGUACGGCCGCAAGGUUAAAACUCAAAUGAAUUGACGGGGGCCCGCACAAGCGGUGGAGCAUGUGGUUUAAUUCGAUGCAACGCGAAGAACCUUACCUGGUCUUGACAUCCACAGAACUUUCCAGAGAUGGACUGGUGCCUUCGGGAACUGUGAGACAGGUGCUGCAUGGCUGUCGUCAGCUCGUGUUGUGAAAUGUUGGGUUAAGUCCCGCAACGAGCGCAACCCUUAUCCUUUGUUGCCAGCGGUUAGGCCGGGAACUCAAAGGAGACUGCCAGUGAUAAACUGGAGGAAGGUGGGGAUGACGUCAAGUCAUCAUGGCCCUUACGACCAGGGCUACACACGUGCUACAAUGGCGCAUACAAAGAGAAGCGACCUCGCGAGAGCAAGCGGACCUCAUAAAGUGCGUCGUAGUCCGGAUUGGAGUCUGCAACUCGACUCCAUGAAGUCGGAAUCGCUAGUAAUCGUGGAUCAGAAUGCCACGGUGAAUACGUUCCCGGGCCUUGUACACACCGCCCGUCACACCAUGGGAGUGGGUUGCAAAAGAAGUAGGUAGCUUAACCUUCGGGAGGGCGCUUACCACUUUGUGAUUCAUGACUGGGGUGAAGUCGUAACAAGGUAACCGUAGGGGAACCUGCGGUUGGAUCACCUCCUUACCUUAAAGAAGC